UUGGAGGGCAAGUCUGGUGCCAGCAGCCGCGGUAAUUCCAGCUCCAAUAGCGUAUAUUAAAGUUGUUGCAGUUAAAAAGCUCGUAGUUGAAUUUCGGGGUUAGUAGGUUGGUCAUGCCUCUGGUAUGUACUGGUCUCACUGAUUCCUCCUUCCUGAUGAGCCGUAAUGCCAUUAAUUUGGUGUUGCGGGGAAUUUGGACUGUUACUUUGAAAAAAUUAGAGUGUUUAAAGCAAGCUAACGCUUGAAUACAUUAGCAUGGAAUAAUGAAAUAGGACGUUCGAUCCUAUUUUGUUGGUUUCUAGGAUUGACGUAAUGAUUAAUAGGGAUAGUUGGGGGCAUUAGUAUUCAAUUGUCAGAGGUGAAAUUCUUGGAUUUAUUGAAGACUAACUACUGCGAAAGCAUUUGCCAAGGAUGUUUUCAUAAUCAAGAACGAAAGUUAGGGGAUCGAAGACGAUCAGAUACCGUCGUAGUCUUAACCAUAAACUAUGCCGACUAGGGAUCGGAUGAUGUUAAUUUUUUAAUGACUCAUUCGGCGCCUUACGGGAAAC
rnacentral:rRNA from 1 species